rnacentral:rRNA from 1 species
AACGAACGCUGGCGGCGUGGAUAAGACAUGCAAGUCGAACGGGACAACAUUUGUAGCAAUACCGAUGUUGUUUAGUGGCGAACGGGUGCGUAACACGUGGGCAAUCUGCCGAGAAGUGGGGGAUAGCUCGCCGAAAGGCGAAUUAAUACCGCAUAUGAUCAGAGGAGACAUUUCUUCGACAUCAAAGCCGGGGCGAACCCGGCGCUUUUGUAGGAGCCCGCCGGCCUAUCAGCUAGUUGGUGAGGUAACGGCUCACC